CUACACAUGGCAAGUCGAGCGCGGAAGCACUGAAGAACUUUCUCUUCUGGAGUUAGCGGGGGAGGGGUGAGUAAUAUGUGUGUGACCGGCCCAUGGGACGGGGAUAACUCCGGGAAAGCUGGGCCAAAACCCGAAAACACUCUAAACCGGAGGGGUCGAAAUUCAAAGGCCUCUCCGGCUGUCAUUUAUCGAUGGACCCACUUUCGCAUUAGCGUGGUGGAGACGCUACCGGCGCACCUACGGCAACUAUGCUUAGACAACCUGACAGGCGCAUCGGACACACAGACACUGCACAAGCGCCCAGACGCCUACGGGAGGCAGCAUUAUGGAAUCUUCCCCAAUGCACGACAGUCUGACCGAGCGACGCCGCAUGAGUGAUUAAGGCUUUCGGGUCGUAAAACUCUGUUGUUAGGGAAUAACAAGUGCUCGUUGAAUAAGCUGGCACCUUGACAGAACCUAACCAGAAUGCCUCGGAGAACUACGUGCCAGCAACCGCGGUAGUACGUAUGUGACAAGCAUUAUCCGGAAUUAUUGCGCGUAAAGCGCGCGCAGGUAGUUUCUUAAGUCUGACGUGAAAUCCCACGGCUCACCCGUGGAGGGUCAUUGGAAACUGGGAGACUUGAGUGCAAAAGAAGACCGUGGAAUUCCAUGUGUAGCGGUAAAAUGCGUAGAGAUAUGGAGGAACACCAGUGGCGAAGGCGACUUACUGGUCUGUAACUGACACUGAGGCGCGAAAGCAUGGGGAACACACGGGAUUAGAUACCCUGGUAGUCCACGCCGUAAACGAUGAGUGCUAGCUGUUAGAGGGUUUCCGCCCGUUACUGCUGAAGUUAACGCGUCAGGCAGUCCGCCCGGGGAGUACGCCCCCAAGGGUAAUACUCAGAGGACUUGACAGGGGCCCGCACAAUCGGUGGAGCAUGUGGCUUCAAUCGAAACAACGCCAGGACCCUUACCAGGGCUUGACAUCCUCAGAAAGGCCGUUGCAUUGGGCGUCUCCUUCGAGAAGAGAGUCACGGGUUGUCCUUUGUUCCGGUCAUAGUGUGUUUGGAUAACUUUCGUAUAAGUCUCAGAACGGGCGCAACCGUUACCCUUGUGUUCCGUCGGUAAGGUGGGGAACUUAAAGGAGACGGCCGGUGACAAACGGGAGGAAGGUGGGGAUGACGUCAAGUCAUCAUGGCCCUUAUGCCUAGGGCUUCACACGUCAUACAUGGUCGGUACAAAGGGUUGCAAACCCGCGAGGGGAGCUAAUCUCAAAAACCGUUUGUAUUCGGGUUGGCGGUUUGAAAUUGGAUUGCUGGAGGUGGGAAUGGUUGGAAUUGGGGGUUCAGAAUGUCGCCGGUGAAUACGUUCCCGGGCUUGUACACACUUA
rnacentral:rRNA from 1 species